rnacentral:rRNA from 1 species
AGUAACACGUGGAUAACCUACCUAUAAGACUGGGAUAACUUCGUGAAACCGGAGCUAAUACCGGAUAAUAUUUUGAACCGCAUGGUUCAAAAGUGAAAGACGGUCUUGCUGUCACUUAUAGAUGGAUCCGCGCUGCAUUAGCUAGUUGGUAAGGUAACGGCUUACCAAGGCAACGAUGCAUAGCCGACCUGAGAGGGUGAUCGGCCACACUGGAACUGAGACACGGUCCAG